rnacentral:rRNA from 1 species
ACUCAAAUGAAUUGACGGGGGCCCGCACAAGCGGUGGAGCAUGUGGUUUAAUUCGAUGCAACGCGAAGAACCUUACCUACCCUUGACAUCUAUAGAAUUUUGCAGAGAUGCGAAAGUGCCGAAAGGAACUGUAAGACAGGUGCUGCAUGGCUGUCGUCAGCUCGUGUUGUGAGAUGUUGGGUUAAGUCCCGUAACGAGCGCAACCCUUAUCCUUAGUUGCCAUCAUUUAGUUGGGGACUCUAAGGAGACUGCUGGUGAAGAACCGGAGGAAGGCGGGGACGACGUCAAGUCAUCAUGGCCUUUAUGGGUAGGGCUACACACGUGCUACAAUGGGGCGUACAGAGGGAAGCCAACUCGCGAGAGGGAGCCAAUCUCAGAAAGCGUCUCGUAGUCCGGAUCGGAGUCUGCAACUCGACUCCGUGAAGUCGGAAUCGCUAGUAAUCGCGAAUCAGAACGUCGCGGUGAAUACGUUCCCGGGCCUUGCACACACCGCCCGU